rnacentral:rRNA from 1 species
UGAGCAAUCUGCCCUUCUCAUCGGAAUAAGCGUUGGAAACGACGUCUAAUGCCGAAUACGACCUCCUUUCGCAUGAUCGGAGGUGGAAAGCUCCGGCGGAGAAGGAUGAGCUCGCGGCCUAUCAGCUAGUUGGUGUGGGUAAUGGCCCACCAAGGCGACGACGGGUAGCCGGCCUGAGAGGAUGACCGGCCACACUGGGACUGAGACACGGCCCAGACUCCUAGGAGG